UACGGAGGGUGCGAGCGUUGUCCGGAAUCACUGGGCGUAAAGGGCGCGUAGGUGGCCUGUGGAAGUCUGCGGUGAAAGCCCCGGCGCUCAACGCCGGGUCGGCCGUGGAUACUCUCGGGCUCGAGCUUACUAGAGGCAGAUGGAAUUCCGGGUGUAGCGGUGGAAUGCGUAGAGAUCCGGAAGAACACCGGUGGCGAAGGCGGCCGUGCUGGGCAGCUGAGCUGACACUGAGGCGCGACAGCGUGGGGAGCAACAGG
rnacentral:rRNA from 1 species